UGUACACUUUUUCUAGCUACAAAAACUGUUGCAGAACAAGUUAUGUGUGUACUACUAUGAAGCUGUAGUUUACAGCAAUGGAGCAUAUAUACCGGUUAAGCAAAGGGAAAACACUCACCAUCUCAGUCUAUUUGUGCUUUAUAAAUUAACUUUUCCAUUAUGAGAAAUGGAGGCCUUGUCACUAUUUUCAUGUAUGUUUACUAGAGGGACAGAGCAGUUUUCUGAAAAGUGGUAUCGUUUGCCGGAUACAUUUGGUAGCUCAUACUAUAAGGAUACUUUGUCCUAGUGGGUGUGGAAGUGAAAUUAGUUUUGAGGGUUCUAUAUGCUUUAUUUAUUGUAAC